GCCGCCCCGACAGACACACGCGGCGUCAGGCGGGGACCGCCGCGGGCGGCAGUUUGACCUGCAGGCUGUGCCGCCGCCGCCCCGCCCCGGACUUGGGCACCUCGCCAAGUGGGCAACGUCGCGAGGGUGGGCAGGGGAGAGGGAGAGAAGUAAGGCGAGUUGGUAAAAGAAAGAUGCCAAGUUUCUAAAGCAGCUGUGCCCACGUUGAGGAUCGCGCUGCCCUUUUCAAGGCCCUGUUCUGAUGUCCCCAAGACAACCGGCACAGCCUCCUGUGUCGCCGAGGUCGCCCUCCUCCAGGACAGAAUUAGGCCAGUGCCAGCUGCCGGCGGGCUGCGGGGGCGUGACUGGCCCGGGUGCCCAGGCGCCUGCACCUCCGCGCGCAGCCGGCCUCACCUGUCUGUAACCUGACCCGCUGUGCGCCCGGCCCGCAGGACCCGGGAAUCUACGCAGCGGAUUUCCCUGUCUUCUUCCGUCCUGAAAUGGCCCUUGGUAACGGAUUUCUCGGCUUGGCUGUCGAACCCUCUGGGCGCACGGAAAGGGGCGCAGCCCUCCCGGGGCUGUGCGGGGGACAGGAGCGCCAGGUCUCCGGCUUAGCCUUCGAGGAGUCACUACUCUCUUUGGGCUGAACUCUGACCUCCAGAUUUUCUCUGAGGAAAACCGACCAAGAAUGAGAAAGACUUUGAUCCCGGGGAGACUGAGAAAGGGGAGGAAGGCCUUUCUGUAGCACCGCAAGAAAACUUGGUGACUUCCUGACUGUAAGGCUGAUGGCGCGGCUUCUGGGAGACUCUGCACGUGUUAUUUUUAUUUGCCAACAAACGAGAUUUGCUAGAAAGAAGGAACUUGGGUUGAAUGAAAGCGUAAAAAUAAAGUAAACCUAUAAAAUAUCAGGAUUACUCCCCCAUCUCUAAACAUCUUCAAAACUUCAUUCAAGAUUCUUUAUUUUAUAAAAGAGGCAGUGAACCCCACUAAUAAAGGUGAGGUUUUUUUCCUUUA